UGGAACUCGCCGGUGGGAAAAAGAUGAGGGUAAAAAUUCGGCGGGAGAGUUUGGCAAGAAAUUAGCAAUGGUUAAGCGGGUACGGGAUAUAAAGGCGCAGUAGUGGGUAGCGGCUUUACAACAGAAGUGGGGAAAAAAUAUAAAAAAAUCUUAUCAUACUGGGCACUCGAUAAGGUUGCUUGUUCACUGUUCUCUGUGAGUCUGACUCCGUGAAUCCCCAUCGUCGACUGUGUUUCUUUCCCACACUUGAACAAAAUGGGUUUAGGACCUUUCCAUAAAAUUAAAGAAUAGUGAAAUCACUCGAAUAGAGUGCUACAAAGAAUUCUUUGGCUAUUCGGAGCGAAUGGGCCCUCAGGAGGCCUGCGAUUGCCCAUUUCUCAACUCUCCAUCCAACCGGAGGCAGCUUUACUAGCCUCGGCGCGGACAAGAAAUUAUGUUGGUAAAAUCCAGAAGAGUUGAAACGCUGACAAAAGAACUGCAGCCAGCUACAAUGCACUUCCAAAAACUAUAGACCAAAACAUUCUCAAAUUUUUGACGGCUUAGCAGCUGUCUUCGUCGGGGGGAUGGAAAUGAAAAAAAAGUUUUAAAAGCAAGUGUAUUGUGUGACAGUGUCUAUAUAACGGCUACUGAUAGCCUUUCUUUCUCAAAUGCAAUUGGUUUUAGUGUUGUGAACGUUCUUGAUUGUUCGUUCUCUUGCAUGGGAAAGGGAAGAUCUCCACCAGCCGUUACGUAGACGGGGUUGCGCAACUGUGGAUAAGCUGUUCAAUGUCUUCAUGGAAUUCCUACCCAGUGCGGAUUUAGAAUUUUUCAACUAAAUGGAGAACUGAUGACGGCAGUAAUUUGUAUUCAGAACAAUGAAGUCAAUGGGUGCAGAGGAACAGUUCCAACUGCUUGGAUGGCCAACACAAAGGGCCGAUUUGCAGCACCCGACAAACUUACCCAUGCGACCUCGUUUGGAUCGGGAAGACGAAGACGAAUUGAGAAGAUGGUCAGCAGAUGAAAACCAGUUCAACAACACCAAUUAGCAGGAUCCAUGGAUAUUCCACAAACUACAAAUGUUUAUAGAGAGUCUUACUAUAAUCUUUAUUCUUUCUUUUCUUGGGUUAUCCAAGACACGCCUCGGCUCCUUUCUGCAGCUUAGAUACGCAAUACUUUGCUCAACACAUUUACUGUUUCGAGCAUCGCUGCCAACAGUGUCCUUCCUAUGUAGUUUGGUGCACUUGGGACCAUCUCAAAGAAAACAAUGUUCAAACACGAUAGGUACCAAGCUGAAUUUGCUUUUCUUCCUUUCGGGGUCGAUAAAAUAAGUACCAAUUGGGCACUGAGGGCGAUAUGAUCGACUUACUCCCAGCCACGAAAUUGCCAGCCAUGUUUCAAAAUUUGAAACCCUUAUUAGUGUCAGACCAGCACUGGGGUUGAUGCAAUCAGGUAACUCCCUCAGAUAAAUUUUUUUUUAAAU